rnacentral:lncRNA from 1 species
AGAAAAUUGAAUGCCUAGAAACCCCGGUGGAUGACAAAAAGCACCCUUUCAUCAUAAAAUCAUAGCCUGGGUGGCUUCUCAGUAGGAUGUCUGACCCAGAUAUCUGAAGCGAAUAUUUUACACUGCAGGCUUUGUGUAACAGAAAUCCAAACUGUGCAAUUUUAAAAUCAUAUUCUCAUAAUUCUACAGAGCUGAGGGGAGGAAAGUGUUCACAUCCAUUCAUCGAGACGCAUACACCAUCUAUCGCAUAGUUCUGCAAAGAUUCAAGGUCCGUUAUUCACCAGGUGGAGGAAGAGUCAGCUCAGGUAACGAUCAUGGUCUUCAGGUGUUUCGUGUAGAUCUGAUAACCCCCAGUUUAAAACAGCAAAACUUUUUCCAUCAACGUUAACAUUUUGAUUGGUUGUUGAGAUAAAGAUGUUUAAGACUGACUAAGAAAAUGUUAAUUAUUUAUGUUAAUUAUAGGCUUUUAUUUUGAAGGAGCUGGCUGUCUUGCAUAGAUUCUGCAUAAGAAACCUAAACAAUAGAAACCAACAUUUUAAGAGUUGUUUUCUUCUCCUCUUGAGGACAGAGCUGAUGUUUUACUAUGUACUAAUAAUACGAAGAAUCAUGUUGGUUUUUCAGUAAAUUAAUGACUCAUUUAUUACAAGAAAAUCUGUUUCUUUCAGGUUUAUACCACCAGACAAGAUCUCUGCACAAUUAAUAUUACAGUGAAUGAAGCAGAGUUGUUUUCCAUCACAGGAGCAGCAGGAAGAAGCUGCAUCGACUCAACAAAGGUGUGUACAUGAUUGAAAAAGUGCACAUGUUCAUUUCUAACCUUAAUUUAACUGUGAUGAACACAUUCACACCCACAACUCUUGUUACUGAUGUGACUUUAAUUUAAGACGAAUCUGAUCACAACUUUCUUUACAAGCACUUUAUCAUUGCAGCUAUUUUUCAAUUUUCAGACACUGCUGUUAGAAACAGAGAAAAUUAAAGCGCUGCAGUCUUCAAAGAAAGCAUUUUAAGGCUGCACCGCCUGACAAAAUAUUCAACGCCUUUUCUAAACGAGUUUCUUAUUUCUUAAAGCAGUAUUGAUUCUGUAACAGGAGAAAUGAUAGCAGAGAUUCGUGGACAAAAACAAAUGACACAUUUUCUGUCUCCUCCUCAAACAACUAGACGGCGGCUUCAAUCAUAAAGUCAAUUUCACUUUUAAGAUGAGGCUCAGGAUGGUUGCAGUAACUCCAUGUGACAUGUGGUUAUUAAAGCUAACGGCUUGCAUUAUGUGCAGAAAACAAAGGUGCAUGCAGAAAGCCAAUUUGGCACGCGGUCCUGGCUCACCGUUAAAUUCAGGUCAUUUCAGGCGUGUGUUGGAAACAGCUGUGCACGCUUCCACAAAAUGAGCCGUGUUCAUUAUCUGAGUUUAGGGUUCCAGAAGAUUAAGAGUUUGUUUAUUUGUGGCUGUGCGAGCGGUUACUAAGAUGGCUCUUACUGUCUCCGUCGAGGGAUUAGAAAGUCGUAAAACAGUGAAAUGUAAAAUGGUGUGUUAUCUGGUGGCACGGAGGAGUGUGGGGGGCCAGAUGUUAUCUUUAUGUGGGUAAUGGGUCAUCACAUCUUGGGGCAGAGAUUACAGAUUUACUGCCCUCCUCUCCCUCUCUGAGAUUUCACUGAAGCUUUUAUUAUCUUGUCCACACACUGUCACCUCAAUGACUUCACCCGCCUCCUCCUCCUCACAAUGCACAGACACAAAGCAGCUCAGCCUCCGUCACCUCGUUUACCCCCUCAGACCAGUCUUAACGGCUCCUUAUCACCAUAAACAUAUCAUUGAAUUUCAGCAAUGACUUUCCGGUUAUUAACUUUCAUUCUGCAGUGCUGGAGCCGAUGGGGAGAUGGGGAAUUUAUUUGGCUAUAGUUUGAGGAUUUUAAACGGUCAGCGGUUGUUUGGAUUCAGCUGCUUGGAAAAGGAGACUCUGAAUGGCUUUACAGAUGCUCUUUAUCAAACACUUUAAUGGGAGCCGGGUCAAGUGUCAAAAUAUAACAAGAACCUGCACAGACAGUCGACAAAGAUUGGUCUAAUUUAUCACCUUAAAUACUCACUUAACCACCCUGACGCAUUAAAAGACUUCAACAGAGGGCUGUGUUGAAUAUUAUACAGACUAAAGUGACAAGAUCUAACGCUAAUAUGGAUGUGAUCUUCAGGUCCUCUGGCAGCACUGCAUUAUGAGCUGUCAUGGCUCUGUAGUGGAAGUCACCAAAAAACGAACAUGCAAAAAGAAAACCAGAAAACUUUCAGGGAACUUUCUGUGAAAUUUGAAAUUUGAAAUCAUUGUCGUCAUAUCCAUGGAUGUGCAAGGCUGAUUUUGAACACAAUGCAAAAGAAUAAAGGGCUAGACCUGGCUAGAUCUUGAGGCAGCACUGCAUUAUGAACAAUUAAAGCGCUGUAGUGGAAGUCACUGCAUGGAUUAAAAUUAAUCACCUCUAAAAAAUUUAGUCUGUGAAUACGAUUUGUUGCUGCACCCACAAGUAAAGGGUAACCAUGCAAAAAUUAAACAUGCAAACAGGAAACCAGUUGAUUUUCAGAGCCUGACAGAUCAAAAUUUGACACUUGUUUUGGAAAUCUUUGAUAUUCGGGGUGCUAAACUGGUCCCAACUUGUUACCGAUUGGAAGUAUUCGCUGUGUCAUGAAAACACAAACAAAUAAGACUAAGGUGACCUGGACUGAUAAGCAGCUGUAAUCCUGAGUCUACCUUAUAUCUAUGCACCAUUUCCAACUAAAUAUAGACUUUAAAUUCUCUAUAAACCUUUAAAAUCUGUUUUAACUACAUUUUACACAGCGUCAUAACUUUUUUUUAACUUGGUUGGUGACCAGUGUCUCCUAAAAUAUCACCCUAUUUCUUCUUCUUCUUCAGUGUCAUCAGCUUAAGUCCCAAACUUUGGGUUGACAUAGACUUUUUUAGCCUGUCCCUACUCCAGCCACCGAGAAAACGCUCCAAGAAUAAACUGGGAUUAAAAUAUAUUCCCUAGGCCAUGUGGGCUGUCACAUUUCCAUGCAUGAGCGUUAAGUGGGAUCACGUCAAAAGAGUGGAGAGCGUGAUAUUUCCACUUAUGUAAUACAUCUUAAUAAAAAAAUAAAAGUCAGGCUACAUGCUGGACAUUAAGUCCUGCGUUUCUUAAAGCUUAGAGCCAACAUGUCUGCUGCUGUGAUUUAAGUAGAAAAAGAAGUCAUGCUCACAGAUCAGUGCGUCUUUACGGGGGCAUGGCUGAGCUUGGAGUAUAAUGUCAGCGUACUUACAUGCUCAAUAUAUCCAUAUUAAUGUUAAUCCCCUCAGCUAUAGAAACAUGUCGCUGCUAAAGGGAGUCAAUUGCUAAAUGCCGCCUUGAGGGGGUAAUUUUGCCAAUUAGUGCAAAUAUAUCGAUUAAAUAAUGUUUAAAUGUGAGUGUAAUUUGUAGCAAACCCUUCCUGUCACUCAAAGAGGCCACACCCCGAAUCCAUUAAGGUCAGUCUGAGCACAGUUUCCCGUUAGUUUAAAGCUGCGGACGAUCAACAAUCCAACAUUUCCAUCCCUUUUAAGCCGUCAAGCCAAAACUGCAGGGCCUAAUGAGCGGGGGAGGGAAAAUCCAUAAAGCCAAUGGUUUGUCACUGCAUGCAUGACUUAUAUUUGAGGCUGUUAGCUGUGUCACUUCUGUCAAUACAAGGAUUGAGAUUAAGAUGUCAGAGAUUCUGCAAAAAUUCCUCUUUUCUUUUGUUUCGCCUUAAUAAGGAGACAGACAGGGACGCUGCUGAUGAACAGCUGAGGGAUUUAAAGUUUUAGCUAAGGCUGUGAAACUUUAGGAGACGAGGAUCGCUGUCUGUUCAAAAUAUGACAGGAAAGCCUCAAAGUUUCUGACUUUUUCUGGAAAAAACAAGAAGUGUUGUAUCGGAGAUCCCCGUGGAUGCACGUGGACCCGUUCUGAUUCACAGCAUGUCCUGUUCAUAAGAUCUGACAAACGCAGCGUCACCUAUUGAUCCUCGUACCGCUCAACCCCUCCUGCCAGCAGAGCUUCUCUGUCAUCUAUUAUUAAACAGAGAGAUUCAACCUUAACACCUGAAGAACAGCACCGGACUGAUCUAAUCCUUUGUGAGAACUCGAGGCCAAAUGUCAAACACUCAGUCCUCAUCUGCAUUUUUUCAACUUUUGUCAUUAGAGUUUUUCAAGUGCAGGAAACUUCAGGUGACGGAGGAGUUUAAAGUGUUUCUGUUUGACUCUUCACAGUGAGAGGACUUUUCAAAGGUAACGGUGACAAAUGUGCGUUUGUUGCUGCAGAGUUUCAUUGUAUUUGACAUGCUCACCGGGGUGAAUCAGAGGGGAGCUCACGAUUCAAAUAAACCAACUCGCAAGUAUGAUGUCAAUACUUUCCUUGGAUUUCACGGCGCCUCUUUCUCUUAAUGGGGCCUUCAUUUUAAAUCUUAUUUCUAAGCCCCUGUGAGGAUUUUUUCUUCACUGCAAACAGAUUAAAAUUAAGAACUCUUCAUCUCAAGGUCUCUGACUCAGGGCUUUGUUCAAUAUAAAUGGAGUCUGAAACUGCAGGGUCUAUGUGAACAACAACAACACAGAGAUGAGCCGCUGAGACCUGAAGAGAAAGAGCAGAGUUGUGUAUGUUUUGGACAAAAAACCUGAGGAUGGAGCACAGCAGAGAUGAAUAUUUCAUUUUCACCUUUGCACUUCCUCUUUGAAACAGCCUUUGGAGAACAUUUGGGAGACAAAAUCCUGAUUUCAAAGAGAAGGGGAGAUCGGGGAGGGUUGUAACCCCCAAUUUCCACCAUAUCAGAGCGCCGUCCGCCAAUUCCUACUGGAUGCGUUUGUGGGGCGAAUUCCAAGGGGAAUUUCGGACAAUGGGAAUCGCAAGGACUCGCAAGAACCCGCAGAUUUACGUGCAAUUGCGCGAUAAAGGGUUCUCUCUAAAGAGACAGCCACAUACCCAUAUAAGCAGUAGAUUGUGUCCUUCCAGAGGAGGAAAUCCAUCCUGUCCAGACAACAUAUCAUGGUACUAAUUUGUAACUUACCAUCCACUCCCAUUACUCCUGCUAUGGAAUCCUACGCCAUAUCCUUUUUAUGACUGUCCUUACAAGGGAUGAUACGGGUAAAAGAUUAUUCAAUGAUUUUGGACUUCUAGAAUCAGCAUCUCCUUGUCCAUGGUGUCAUCAGGGUGAAAUGAAACUGAAAACCUUUGACUUGUUUACCCCCGCCCACAUUUGCAUGGUGUAAAAUACGAUCCGCCUGAAACACGUACACGUUUUUUGUGUUGAAAAGAAGCCAGAUGUUUUAUUUUGUGUCUGUGCUUGACUUCCUUUCUAGCACAGGCUAAUCUGUGCUGAAUUAAUGUGGCAUGCUGUGGCAUCCAGAAAAAACAGAACCCUGGCGAUCGGCUACAAAGUCUUCUGAACCACAGGGGGGUAAAGAAGCUGGUGGAAAUUGACACAUUACCUUGAAUGGAAACAAUCAGCGGUGACCAACAUUUUACCGCCGUUCCACAUGUGGUGAAAAUUCGGGGUAAGUCUCUUGAUUAUUCCAGCCAGUAUAUUUACACGUUGCUAAAAACAAAAGUGAUUCAUUGCAUCAGUCUAACAUUUUAGUCGGCACUAACAUACCUGGAUGAUGCAGCUGGGGGAUUUUCUAAGUUCUGUAUGUAUGGCUCUAUUUGGACUGAAACAGGCCGAUGCAUUCUGAGCAUGCUCCAGCAUUUUCAUGCCCUUCUUACAUCUGGUUAGGCUCUUGCAAAUAUGUUUCACUGAUUGGUUUGACAGUCAACAGGGAGAUGACCUGAUAGUCAAUCAAUCUGUGUUAUCCCAAGAUGCUCAACAAAAAGUUGGUCUAGACCAGACUCUAUUUACAAAGACCCAAUGUAAUGACAGGAUCAGAUCAGACCCACUUCCACCUUCAACCACAUGAGUGACGCUCUUUGCAGCAUUUAGAGACUUACAGUGGAGAGGAAGAACUUACUUUAACAGGCAGAAACCUCGAGCAGAACCAGACUGAUGUAAGACAGUCAUUUGCUGAGACUGAACUGGGUUGAGAGAGAGGAGAAAGAGGGAGAUGCGUAAUUAAAGCAGCUGAAAAGUACAAAGCAAAAGAUCUGCCGCAGCGAUCCAGAGGAACCUACGGCAUGAUGGAGUUCAGGGACUCCCAGGAAAGACUGAGUGAUGGUUACGAGCAGACAGGAGGUUUGUCACUAGUGACUGUAGUGGAAGUGGACAUAUGUCUGUUAAUAAUUCAAUUUUUGCCUGGUGUUUGUAAGCUGUGACGAGGACAUUAGUACUUAGGCUCCUAACAGGAGGACGGCUGUAAACGGGCACAUUUCUCGACUGAGAGAAAACUGAUUUUGAGAUUUGAAAGUUAAGUUUGUGAUCAAUACUGUAUUUUGUUUUGUACAUAUACUUCUGCAGUUAAACUUGUAUGACUUCUACGGGGUUCAACUGAAGUUUCUCAGGUAACCUCUUAAGGAUUUCUCCAAAAGGCGUGAAAGCUUCAAGGUUAACUUUUAUCUUUUCCAGGAUCCGUCGAAGAAGAAACUCCAGGAACUAUCUCAGAUUUUGGCUCCAGGAGCAGCUCAUGGGGUGAGUUACACCAUUUCUCUUUAUAAAAAGAGAUGUUUUUAUGAUUUGAUGAUUUUGAAUAUAUUUUUUUUAAUUAAUUCACAUUUAAAGCUAAACUCUGAAAUACAAAAUCAGGGAUCUCACAGCAGAGGUCAGAGGAGCAUGCUGGGAAAAUUAUGAUCUGGUUUUUACAGUGUUGUUUCAUUUAUAAUAACAAAUACUGAUAUUUCCCAGAUUCCAUUUUCAUGUUUUACUGAAAAGCCCGGUGGCAGUGGGGUUGUCAAAAUUAUCAUUUUUUCCCCAAAAAACAAAUAAAAUGAAACACAAACAUCACAGUAAUGGAUGCGCAGCAGGCCACACAGUGAACACACAGCCUUUUAUCACUGCUAUGUUUGUGUGUUUUCAGGGACACACACAGUCAGGCCUGCAGGCGUAUUAAGGAAAUCUCCUCCUAGUUUGUUUGUUUUACUUAAACUCAGCUUUUUCGCUGUCUUGCAUGUUUAAUUUGUGUUUCAAUGGCCUCAUUAUGCUCUAAUAUGAAUAAAAACUGCAAACGCAGCAGAGUCUGUACAUAUGGUCCAGCGUCUGAUGUGAUUUUAGGAGGUUGUUUGGGGACAUCUCAGCUAUCGGAUGACUCCCACGAUGCAGCACGGCGGUCGAUCAGCCUAUUCUCUGGUCCACAAUGCAAUAUUUGACAGUCAUACCCCCCUGCAGAGAGAGAGAGAGAGCUCCUAGAUACAAACUUCCCGCUUAGAGGCAAACAAAUCGGCUUUAUUUCCAAAUCUUAAACAGACAGAAUCUGCACAUGUGAUCCUUAUAUAAUACAGAUUUGAUAUAUUUGGCGUCCAGCUGACAGGAUGUGAUUUGUUCAGUGAAUCCUGCUCAUCCCUAUGUGGCAGGUGCGUCGUGUUUUUUUUUACACUCACCCUAAAGAAUACAACGAGUUGGCUCUGAAUAUUAAAGAGUGACACUGUAGGCUCUGCAUACGCUCAGAGGAGAAAUGCUGGAUCAGACAGAAAGGCUUACUCUGUCACAGCUGCUGUGAGGUAUUACGCAGAAGAGCAACUGUUUCAGAAGGGAAAAGAAAAGACCAACAUGAGGCUUUGCGUGGGUAAGAUGUAGAAAAUGUACAAAGCGUACAGUUUUAUUCUUAUCGAGGUAAUUUGGAAGAAAACUCAACAACAGAGAGAGGAAAGCAGAGCCAGAUCUAUGUAAACUCAAACAAAGCCGUUAAUUUGACCUUAAAGUCUUACUUAGGAUGAAGUUUACACGAAUAUUGAUUUAAAGGUUACAUCAGCUGAGAUAGUUCCAACAAGGUAUGCACAGUUUUGUCAAUGGCAGAUAAAAGCAUUAAAGUUGUAAACCCCCAAUCCUCUCUCAGUCUGCGGCCCAUGCUCCCUCAUAAUGAUCAGAGUUAGGUCCUUUAGAGAUGACUAAAGGCUGACUUUAAUGUCCAGUGCACUUUCAUUUUUCUAUCCUGGAAAACAACUUACAGGUAAAUCUACAUUAAGGUGACCAGACGUCCCUGAUUUCCGGGGACAGUCCCCAACUAAGGCUAUCCUCGGAUAUGGCCCUGAUUUAAGCGUUUUAUGAAUGAGAAGAAAAAAAAUGUUGGGUGAAGACUAAAACAACAGUUAUUACGGUGGCUGAGUAAGCAUGUUGCGCAGAGUCCUGAACAACAGUUUUUAUGGAGGGUUAUUACGGGGGGCAUGCGCUGCUACUCAAUAGUACCGAGUUGUUGUUAUCACACAGCCGAUGCCCCUCUCCUCCAGAAAUAGAGGGCCUGAAAUCACAUUUUGCUCAGCGCCACCCAUCCCCUGGAUGUCUCCGGAUUUCACUCUCUGCUGCUCAGAGCUGCGCACUGUGCACGCUAAUCCUGAUAGUAAAUGACGAGUUCGUUGUAGAGUGUUUCAGUGUUUAUCCCCAUCUUACUUCCAAAAAACAUCCAAUUUGCAAGAGAACACAUCAACGAUUCAUUAUGGUCCAGACUACAUGUUGAGGGGUUAAGUCAAAGUUAGCAACCACCUAAUUUAACUAACUUUGUAAUCACAAAAAUGGUCAUGUUAGAGUGAUAUUAAUGACUGUGUGCAGGUAUAAUAUUUGCUAUGUGGCUUUUUCGCAUUUUGCACCAAAUAAAUGUAUAACAGAUCACCCAAAUAUAAGUAAACAGCACUGUUGCAGAGAGACGUUAUAUGUGCAGUUUGUUGUGCAUUUAAGUCUUUGUGCACAAGUCAUAUGCACAGGUUUAGUGGGAACAAAAGCCAUUUAAUCAUUGUGUGAAUCAGGCCUUCACUUUGUGUAAAAUGAGAAGCUAUAAUCACAAAAACAGAUCGUUUCAUAUAAAGGCCUGUCUCUAAUAAAAGCCUGUGUAAUAGAUAAAUGUCUGGGUUCAUACUUGAGGAUUUACGGUGCCAAAAUAUAGAGAUAAUAACAUAUGAUUUCAAUUAAAGUCCCAUUUUUUCUUCCAACAAUUUAACAAUAAAUAAAUGACUAAAUAUGAAACACUGAAUUAUAACAAAACGCAGUGAGAACAGCUUAAACACCAGGUAGAAGAUUUGAUAAUGUGGGAAAAAGUGUGAAAAAUCAAAUUUGCAUCUGUACACUCAUCUCAAGCACAGAUACAAAGGAUCUAUUAUCUUUGUUACUGUCACCUGUGCCACACUGGAAGAGAUCAGCAUCCUUCUGAGAACAAUCACAAUCCAUUCAAUCUGACUGAGACUUCGCUCAAACCCACGAGUGAGUGCGAAUGUGCUGAUUUACUUGAUUCACAGUCAAAACUGGAGAAAAAACCCAAAUCUAUUCAAGUUAAAAAAUAAAAAUGUCUGAGUCCGUCUCUUCUAAUCCUCUCUAGGAGACAGUUUUAUAAUGAAAAAGUAUUAAGUGAGUGAGGCAGAUGUUGAUUCUGCCUCCAGAGACCUCCGGUUAGAUAAACAGAGUCUGAGCAGCAGGUAUAGUACAUCACCCACGCACACUUUUCAUUCUCAUCUGCAGCACAACGCUGCUGCUCUGCUCCUCAGGGGUCAGCAUAUGGCUGCACAUAAUUUCUUCUGCGCCUCCUAAGUGGCCUUAGACGAUUUUAUUAUUGUAACAAUAUGGUCUAGGUUCUGCUGCACGUUGGGCACAACUGCAUUAUAAUUAAGAAGACGCAGACAAUGCUAAAUUACAAUGUGCUCCCUCUGCAAGAACAAUAACCACAUUAUCACUUUUGAUUUAGUACAACAGUGCUGCAGAAUCACAGGAGAGAACAACAAGCUGCCUUUUCUCCCUAAUUUUCCUACUCAGCAGACUUAACUAGAGCACACCAAGAAGCACAUCCUCAGACUCAGGGAAGCCCACACUGAGAUGACGAAGCUGCUGUUCCUCGAGUGUCCACUAGAGACUCACCUAUACUGCCACCAUCUUGGUAAGGGUUUCUUGUUUAAAGCAUGUUAUCCAGUAACAUGCUUUAAGUCCAGUAGUAGAAUGGGACUGUCCCCUUCCUGGGUAAACCACUCUGGGUGGGACUGUUGAAGCUGGUUCAUGUACAUCCAGGCCUUCAUGGAGUGCAGUUAGCUUCUUCAGCCAGUAGGAGGUGUGGAUCAUGUCAGAUCGUCAUUUUUGACACUCCCUCUUUGUUCACCAGACUCAGCCUUUCUGUGACUUUCUAGAGACGACUAACCUUCCUCCAUGUCGCCUUGGGUUUGCCUUUUCCCAUGGUGGAUACUGCGUCUUGGGGCUCAAGGAUGAUGGCCAUGUUCUUUGUAGUGGCAGUUCCUGAGAGUCACUAAGCCUUGGUAAGCAAGGGCAU